CAAAAAUGGAUCUGCAGCUUAGACACGUCCUAAAAAUGGAAGGAAACAUCCCCAACAGAACCAAGCAGGAAAACCUGUGAUGUGCCUCAACAUCUUCAGGGCAGAACUGCAACGGCCUGACGGGAGAUGAUGCAAAGCUGGCCCUGCAGUUUGCAGCCCUCUUAAUCAAAAGAAAUCUGUGGAAGAUGCUCUGAGGUGGUGUGCUAAUGAAGUCCAAGCCUGAUAAUAGGAGUUGCUCAGGGACAUGUGCUCUUCAAGUAUGACAUUCCAGUGACUUCCCUGUUCCUAACUUCAAAUACCUUCAAUUUGGAAUCCUGGUGUGUGAGUAGUUAAAAUAAUUUCUUUUAUGUGUAUUACUUAUAUUACACUGCAAACUUAUUAAGAACUGCAUUUGUAAUCUUACUUCUCAUUUAAUUCUUCAAAGUCUUCUCUGUUAUUUGAUUAGGAAAAAUAACUUAGCAUCAUUAUAAAAUUUUGCUCUCUCCCUGACACUCCCUUUGAUGUAACUAACAAAUAUAUGAUUGAGCCCACCCAUGCAGCCUUGAAGCCUUAAGCCUUCUGACAUCAUGAAAGGUAAACAUUUAUUUCCACUUUUUGCAUUCUGCCUCCCUUGCUAGUCUUUCAUACAGAAUAAUAAUAUAACUAUCAUGACUAUUUUGUACGCAAAAGAGGAGAUUCACAAAGAGUAAUUCUGCUAGCUAAGUCUCCAAAUUGAUAUAUAAUUUAAGUAUUUCUGUAGAAAUAAGCCUUGGAGUCUUUUAACUGCUUGUUGUGCAUGUCAUACAAACAAAUGUAAGUGUGGGGAUGUGGCUUUCCAGGCUAAUGUGUGUGAUCAACCCUCUUCUGAAGGGGGUACACACAAUAUAAGCAUAUAUAUGCAAGGGUUUUCAGUUAAUAAACUCUUAAUGCCUUUCCUGUAAAGGGUUUAACUGGGCAAGAAUGCAAAGUGCUUGUCUUCUGCAUACAGAAUUUCAGCCACUCAGGGUUUGCUGAUAGGAAUCAAGAAAUGUGCCAGUUAAAUUAUGGAUUAUGCCUCAUAAAGCUUUUCAAAGGAAACUGGAAGAUUUCUUGUAGAGUAUUGA